AUUGAACGCUGGCGGCCGGCCUAACACAUGCAAGUCGAACGAGUGGCGGACGGGUGAGUAAGGUCUGGGAAACUGCCCGAUGGAGGGGGAUAACUACUGGACACGGUAGCUAAUACCGCAUACCAUCGGAUGUGCCCAGAUGGGAUUAGCUAGUAGGUGGGGGAAAGGCUCACCAAGGCGACGAUACCUAGCUGGGCUGAGAGGAUUACCAGCCACACGGGCACUGAGACACGGUCCAGACUCCUACGGGAGGCAGCAGUGGGGAAUAUUGCACAAUGGGCGAAAGCCUGAUGCAGCCAUGCCGCGUGUAUGAAGAAGGCCUUCGGGUUGUAAAGUACUUUCAGCGAGGAGGCGUUACUCGCAGAAGAAGCACCGGCUAACUCCGUGCCAGCAGCCGCGGUAAUAC
rnacentral:rRNA from 1 species